rnacentral:rRNA from 1 species
CAGGCUGAUACCGCCCAAGAGUUCAUAUCGACGGCGGUGUUUGGCACCUCGAUGUCGGCUCAUCACAUCCUGGGGCUGAAGUCGGUCCCAAGGGUAUGGCUGUUCGCCAUUUAAAGUGGUACGCGAGCUGGGUUUAGAACGUCGUGAGACAGUUCGGUCCCUAUCUGCCGUGGACGUUGGAGAUUUGAGGAAAGCUGCUCCUAGUACGAG